rnacentral:rRNA from 1 species
AGCGAACGCUGGCGGCAGGCUUAACACAUGCAAGUCGAGCGGGCCCUUCGGGGUCAGCGGCGGACGGGUGAGUAACGCGUGGGAACGUGCCUUCUGGUUCGGAAUAACUCAGGGAAACUUGAGCUAAUACCGGAUACGCCCUUUUGGGGAAAGGUUUACUGCCGGACGAUCGGCCCGCGUCUGAUUAGCUAGUUGGUGGGGUAACGGCCUACCAAGGCGACGAUCAGUAGCUGGUCUGAGAGGAUGAUCAGCCACACUGGGACUGAGACACGGCCCAGACUCCUACGGGAGGCAGCAGUGGGGAAUAUUGGACAAUGGGCGCAAGCCUGAUCCAGCCAUGCCGCGUGAGUGAUGAAGGCCUUAGGGUUGUAAAGCUCUUUUAUCCGGGACGAUAAUGACGGUACCGGAGGAAUAAGCCCCGGCUAACUUCGUG